rnacentral:rRNA from 1 species
UACGUAGGGGGCUAGCGUUGUCCGGAUUUAUUGGGCGUAAAGAGCGUGUAGGCGGCCACCGCAAGUCGGUUGUGAAAUCUCCGGGCUUAACCCGGAAAGGUCAACCGAUACUGCGGGGCUAGAGUGCAGAAGGGGCAACUGGAAUUCUCGGUGUAGCGGUGAAAUGCGUAGAUAUCGAGAGGAACACCUGCGGCGAAGGCGGGUUGCUGGGCUGACACUGACGCUGAAACGCGAAAGCUAGGGGAGCGAACGGG